rnacentral:rRNA from 1 species
UAGAAUGUGGCGCAUGCCACGCUUUUGAAAGAUGGUUUCGGCUAUCGCUUACAGAUGGGCCCGCGGUGCAUUAGCUAGUUGGUAGGGUAAUGGCCUACCAAGGCAACGAUGCAUAGCCGACCUGAGAGGGUGAUCGGCCACACUGGGACUGAGACACGGCCCAGACUCCUACGGGAGGCAGCAGUAGGGAAUCUUCCGCAAUGGACGAAAGUCUGACGGAGCAACGCCGCGUGUAUGAAGAAGGUUUUCGGAUCGUAAAGUACUGUUGUUAGAGAAGAACAAGGAUAAGAGUAACUGCUUGUCCCUUGACGGUAUCUAACCAGAAAGCCACGGCUAACUACGUGCCAGCAGCCGCGGUAAUACGUAGGUGGCAAGCGUUGUCCGGAUUUAUUGGGCGUAAAGCGCGCGCAGGCGGUCUUUUAAGUCUGAUGUGAAAGCCCCCGGCUUAACCGGGGAGGGUCAUUGGAAACUGGAAGACUGGAGUGCAGAAGAGGAGAGUGGAAUUCCACGUGUAGCGGUGAAAUGCGUAGAUAUGUGGAGGAACACCAGUGGCGAAGGCGACUCUCUGGUCUGUAACUGACGCUGAGGCGCGAAAGCGUGGGGAGCAAACAGGAUU